rnacentral:rRNA from 1 species
UACGAAGGGGAGCUAGCGUUGCUCGGAAUUACUGGGCGUAAAGGGCGCGUAGGCGGACAUUUUGAGUCAGGGUGAAAUGCCGAGGCUCAACUUCGGAACUGCCUUUGAUACUGGAACUCUUGAGUCUGGGAGAGGUGAGUGGAACUGCGAGUGUAGAGGUGAAAUUCGUAGAUAUUCGCGAAGAACACCAGUGGCGAAGGCGGCUCACUGGCCCGGAACUAGACGGCUGAGGCACGAAAGCGAUGGGGAGCAAACAGGG